GAUGAACGCUGGCGGCGUGCUUAACACAUGCAAGUCGAACGGAAAGGCCCAAGCUUGCUUGGGUGCUCGAGUGGCGAACGGGUGAGUAACACGUGGGUGAUCUGCCCUGCACUUUGGGAUAAGCCUGGGAAACUGGGUCUAAUACCGGAUAGGACCAUCGUUUAGUGUCGGUGGUGGAAAGUUUUUCGGUGUGGGAUGAGCUCGCGGCCUAUCAGCUUGUUGGUGGGGUAAUGGCCUACCAAGGCGUCGACGGGUAGCCGGCCUGAGAGGGUGUACGGCCACAUUGGGACUGAGAUACGGCCCAGACUCCUACGGGAGGCAGCAGUGGGGAAUAUUGCACAAUGGGCGCAAGCCUGAUGCAGCGACGCCGCGUGGGGGAUGGCGGCCUUCGGGUUGUAAACUCCUUUCGCCAAGGACGAAGCGUUUUGUGACGGUACUUGGAGAAGAAGCACCGGCUAACUACGUG
rnacentral:rRNA from 1 species